UACAGAGGGUGCAAACGUUGCUCGGAAUCAUUGGGCGUAAAGCGCACGUAGGCGGUCCAGCAAGUCGGGUGUGAAAGCCCAGGGCUCAACCCUGGAAGUGCAUUCGAAACUGCUGGACUUGAGUACCGGAGAGGGUGGCGGAAUUCCCGGUGUAGAGGUGAAAUUCGUAGAUAUCGGGAGGAACACCAGUGGCGAAGGCGGCCACCUGGACGGAUACUGACGCUGAGGUGCGAAAGCGUGGGGAGCAAACAGG
rnacentral:rRNA from 1 species